CCGGCACGGGUGAGUAACGCGUAUGCAACUUGCCUAUCAGAGGGGGAUAACCCGGCGAAAGUCGGACUAAUACCGCAUGAAGCAGGGAUCCCGCAUGGGAAUAUUUGCUAAAGAUUCAUCGCUGAUAGAUAGGCAUGCGUUCCAUUAGGCAGUUGGCGGGGUAACGGCCCACCAAACCGACGAUGGAUAGGGGUUCUGAGAGGAAGGUCCCCCACAUUGGAACUGAGACACGGUCCAA
rnacentral:rRNA from 1 species